GAGAGUUAAACAGUACGUGAAAUUGUUGAAAGGGAAACGAUUGAAGCCAGUCGUACCUUCGGGUAAUCAGCCUUUCGGGUGCGAUUAUGUGGAGUGUGAGGAGCUUAAACACCUUCAUGUUUUGCAUAUUCGUACUCUUGGGUGUACUUGCCCGUGUGGUUGGUUAACAUCAAUUUUGGUGGUCAUAAAAUGACUGGAGGAAUGUAGCUUCGAUCUCGUAUUGAAGUGUUAUAGCCUUCGGUAGAUGUGAUGAUCGAGAUUGAGGAUUGCAACGGAUACCCUUCGGGGCUACCUGUCUGAUCUCUGAUCGUUGCUCUGGUGCCGAAAGCUUGCUUACGGUUAUCAAAGUCAAUGGUCAAUAGGUUAGAACGGGUUAAAUUCGUUAAGGAUGUUGACGUAAUGGCUUUAAACGA
rnacentral:rRNA from 1 species